GGGUGUAAUCGACUUGUCAUCAAUUCUGAUAACUUGGAGGUCAUCGAGACUAUGAAUAAUGGAGGAUGGUCGGCAGGAGUGGCGGCGGCAAUUUUUGAUGAUUGUUAUUUUAUUGCUUGUGAUUUUUCUAGGUCCAACUUUGAACAUUGUAAUAGAGAGGCACAUAAAGUAGCUCAUGAACUUGCCAGGUUGGCUAGAUUUUCUGAUACUGUUGAUUGGUUUGAGGAGCCAUUGAAUGAAAUUAUACCCUUCCGUUUGAUGUAUCCGUUAUUUCGAUUGAAUAAAGUUAUUAUGUUUAAAAAAAAGUUCAUGUUUUCCCAGUAUAGAGCCAAAAAUAUUAAUAUCUGA
rnacentral:rRNA from 1 species